GAUGAACGCUGGCGGCGUGCCUAAUACAUGCAAGUCGAGCGAACGGACGAGAAGCUUGCUUCUCUGAUGUUAGCGGCGGACGGGUGAGUAACACGUGGAUAACCUACCUAUAAGACUGGGAUAACUUCGGGAAACCGUAGCUAAUACCGGAUAAUAUUUUGAACCGCAUGGUUCAAAAGUGAAAGACGGUCUUGCUGUCACUUAUAGAUGGAUCCGCGCUGCAUUAGCUAGUUGGUAAGGUAACGGCUUACCAAGGCAACGAUGCAUGGCCGACCUGAGAGGGUGAUCGACCACACUGGAACUGAGACACGGUCCAGACUCCUACGGGAGGCAGCAGUAGGGAAUCUUCCGCAAUGGGCGAAAGCCUGACGGAGCAACGCCGCGUGAGUGAUGAAGGUCUUCGGAUCGUAAAACUCUGUUAUUAGGGAAGAACAUAUGUGUAAGUAACUGUGCACAUCUUGACGGUACCUAAUCAGAAAGCCACGGCUAACUACGUG
rnacentral:rRNA from 1 species